UCGAGAAUUUUUCACAAUGGGGGAAACCCUGAUGGAGCGACGCCGCGUGGGGGAUGAAGGGCUUCGGUUCGUAAACCCCUGUCAUUGGCGAACAAGUGUUACGUUCUAAUACAGCGUGACUUGAUAGUAGCCGAAGAGGAAGGGACGGCUAACUCUGUGCCAGCAGCCGCGGUAAUACAGAGGUCCCGAGCGUUGUUCGGAUUCACUGGGCGUAAAGGGUGCGUAGGUGGUUGGUUAAGUUUGAGGUGAAAGCUCCGAGCUCAACUCGGAAAAUGCCUUGAAGACUAUCUGACUAGAGGAUUGGAGGGGAGAUUGGAAUUCUCGGUGUAGCAGUGAAAUGCGUAGAUAUCGAGAGGAACACCAGUGGCGAAGGCGAAUCUCUGGACAAUUCCUGACACUGAGGCACGAAAGCCAAGGGAGCAAACGGG
rnacentral:rRNA from 1 species